rnacentral:misc_RNA from 1 species
ACCAGGUAGCAUUCCUCUUUGCUGCCGGCACCGCAUGAGCAAUAGGACAGAUACCAUCCUAGAGUCCACCCGGGCACGCCAGGCUUCUGUAAGGGACAAUUGAUUCGGGCAAAAAAGGGACAAGGACCCCAACCGAUCAUGCUUCUACAUACAAGACUUCGAGCGACACUUGGGCAUCCGACGCCUGCAAGCCACAUGGGCGAAGCAAGGGCGGACGUCCAUGGGUGCUUCAGGGUCUACAUCGCACAAAACAUUUUCGCACGAGAUAGAGUAGGGACCGUGGGACUAGAAAAUUCCGUCAAAACAGGUAUGCUGCACAGGGGGCCAAGCCUAUCCAAGGCGAGAUAUUUAGCACUCGGACAGAAUUGAACAGGUGUGAACCAGCGGUUGUCGCUACCGGGGCAGGGAACCAACCAACCGGAACAUACC